UGGGGAAUUUUGGACAAUGGGCGCAAGCCUGAUCCAGCCAUGCCGCGUGCAGGAUGAAGGCCUUCGGGUUGUAAACUGCUUUUGUACGGAACGAAAAGGUGCCUUCUAAUAAAGGGCGCUCAUGACGGUACCGUAAGAAUAAGCACCGGCUAACUACGUGCCAGCAGCCGCGGUAAUACGAAGGCAGCAAGCGUUGUUCGGAGUUACUGGGCGUAAAGAGUGCGUAGGCGGUUUUCUAAGUUCGGUGUGAAAUCUCCCGGCUUAACUGGGAAGGUUCGCCGAAGACUUGGAAGCUGGAGUGUGGGAAAGGCAGGCGGAAUUCCUGGUGUAGCAGUGAAAUGCGUAGAUAUCAGGAGGAACACCAGCGGUGUAGACGGCUUGUUAGACCAUAACUGACGCUGAGGCACGAAAGCGUGGGUAGCAAACA
rnacentral:rRNA from 1 species